rnacentral:rRNA from 1 species
AUUGAACGCUGGCGGAAUGCUUUACACAUGCAAGUCGAGCGGCAGCGCGGACUAGGGUAACUUAGCCUGGCGGCGAGCGGCGAACGGGUGAGUAAUACAUCGGAACGUACCCAAUCGUGGGGGAUAGCCCGGCGAAAGCCGGAUUAAUACCGCAUAAGCCCUGAGGGGGAAAGCGGGGGAUCGAAAGACCUCGCGCGGAUGGAGCGGCCGAUGUCGGAUUAGCUAGUUGGUGGGGUAAAGGCCUACCAAGGCGACGAUCCGUAGCUGGUCUGAGAGGACGACCAGCCACACUGGAACUGAGACACGGUCCAGACUCCUACGGGAGGCAGCAGUGGGGAAUUUUGGACAAUGGGCGCAAGCCUGAUCCAGCCAUUCCGCGUGAGUGAAGAAGGCCUUCGGGUUGUAAAGCUCUUUCGGCAGGGAAGAAACGGCCCUAGCUAAUAUCUAGGGUUAAUGACGGUACCUGAAGAAGAAGCACCGGCUAACUACGUGCCAGCAGCCGCGGUAAUACGUAGGGUGCGAGCGUUAAUCGGAAUUACUGGGCGUAAAGCGUGCGCAGGCGGUUUUGUAAGACAGAUGUGAAAUCCCCGGGCUCAACCUGGGAACUGCGUUUGUGACUGCAAGACUCGAGUGCGGCAGAG